GGCGAAGUGGUGGAAUUGGUAGACACGCUACUUUGAGGGGGUAGUGGGCGUUAGCCUGUGCGAGUUCGAAUCUCGCCUUCGUCACCA
rnacentral:tRNA from 3 species